rnacentral:rRNA from 1 species
AACGAACGCUGGCGGCAGGCUUAACACAUGCAAGUCGAACGGAUCCUUCGGGAUUAGUGGCGGACGGGUGAGUAACGCGUGGGAACGUACCCUUUGCUACGGAAUAACUCAGGGAAACUUGAGCUAAUACCGUAUGUUCCCUACGGUGGUAAGAUUUAUCGGCAAAGGAUCGGCCCGCGUUGGAUUAGCUAGUUGGUGGGGUAAUGGCCUACCAAGGCGACGAUCCAUAGCUGGUCUGAGAGGAUGAUCAGCCACACUGGGACUGAGACACGGCCCAGACUCCUACGGGAGGCAGCAGUGGGGAAUAUUGGAAAAUGGGCGCAAGCCUGAUCCAGCCAGGCCGCGUGAGUGAUGAAGGUCUUAGGAUAGUAAAGCUCGUUCACCGGUGAAGAUAAUGACGGUAGCCGGAGAAGAAGCCCCGGCUAACUUCGUG